AGUCACCCCAUCUUCCUCGAAAAGGGGAAGCAGAUGGUGGAGAGCCCUCCGUCCGAUCAUUAUUCCACCCCCGGAGGGUCUCUACCUUCGUUCUUCCAGAAGACCCUCGAGACUCGCAGUCGAGAGGGCCUCCUAGAUCGAAGAUCCCAAGAAAUGAACCGGCAGAUCGAGGAGCUCAUCAGACGAGGUCGGCUCGAUAGAUUCAUCCAAUGCCGACCUGAAGGUAGGGAGGAUUGGCUGAGGGCCCUACCACGGCCAGAGCCACCAAGGAGGGAGGAAUAGCCUAAAGAUCGGCCUCCAAUCG
rnacentral:lncRNA from 1 species